GUUGAUUAACUCUGUGGUAAUUUAUCAAUAUUUUCCCAACGCAUGAAACGUCAAGCAUGAUCCGUGGCGUGGCGUUGCGUGGCAAAGGUCACACACGUCCACAAAGGUGGCAGCAUUGGGAUUCGAGUCCGCUCCCUCUUGUUGUUGUUGUGUAAGCGUUGUAACCACUAUAGCGGUGGAUGUUUUAUUAGUACCCUAUAUGUUAUAACCCUGUCAAAUAUUUUAUCCUCAAAUUAAAAGGUAGAUUGCAGUUACUGCAGUUAAAAAUGAGAUUCCGAUUUAUUUUUCUGUCUUUCCUGUUUCUUCAAGUUUCUUGUUCACGAUUGACUAAAAGAGAUGAAGCCGACGAUUCAUCACGUGUUUUGACAACAACAUCAACUAAAUCAACAACAACAACCAUAGUACCCAUGAUCCAAUCAACAAAUACUAUCCCCUCAACAACAUUAACGACAACCAUUUCACCGCCCACAAUCAAGGUAUCAAUUCCAACAACAACAACUGAAUCAACAACAACAACAACAACUAAAUCAACAACAACAACAACAACUGAGCCAACAACAACAACUGAGCCAACAACAACAACUGAGUCAACAACAACAACAACUGAGCCAACAACAACAACUGAACUAACAACAACAACUAAACCAACAACAACAGAAUUAACAACAACAUCAACUGAACCAACAACACCAACUGAAACAACAACAACUGAGGCAACAACAAAAACUGAAUCAAAAAUAACAUCAACUGAGCCAACAACAACAACUGAGCCAACAACAACAACAACAACAACUGAACCAACAACAACAACUGAACCAACAACAACAGCUGAACCAACAACAACAACUGAAUCAACAGCAUCAACUGAACCAACAACAACAACUGAAUCAACAACAACAACUGAAUCAACAACAACAUCAACUGAACCAGCAACAACAGCUGAACCAACAACAACAACUGAAUCAACAACAUCAACUGAACCAACAACAACUGAACCAACAACAACUGAAGCAACAACGCAAUCAACGGUAGAAACUGCCACCGCCUUGAUACUUAAACCUGUAUUAGUGACAUCACAAAACAAGAUGAAAUCGACGAACAAUCAAAAAAUCGACAUCGACCAGCUGUUGGGGACGGUCCGACUGUGGCAAUUACAACAACAAAAUUGUUAACAACCAAAAUGUCAACGACCAAAUCAACAACAAAACAGCCAAGUACACCAACAACAAUCGAAGACUCUGUGAUAAACGAAGCAAAGAUUUUGAACGAUUUGGGACGGGCACCUCAGCAGCAAUCGUCCUCGUUGUGUUCGUUGCUAUUAUCUUGGUGAUGUUUUGUUUGUGUAAAUGUUGCAGGAAGUCGAAAUAUGCACUGCUUAAACAAAGGAUGCUGAGGGAUUACGGACGAGAAAAAGAUUUUUUGCUGACGGAGAAAGGGGGGGGAUACAAGAGCGACCGACUUACUUUACUCGAUCAAAGUUCCGAAGAUGAAUUCUAACUUUGCACUGUUUACUCCUAGUUUAGUUUUAAUGCAAAUAGCAAUUGUGUUUUAUUUAUAAUUAUGUUGCAGCCUGUGUCGAACUGCCGCCGUAUAUAUCGUUGUUUAAUUAUUACACGUAGCAGCAAAUACACUUUUCUUCACAAAA